ACAGUGAAGGAUAGGGAAGCCUGGCGUACCACAGUCCAUGGGGUCGCAAACAGCUGAACAUGACUUAUCGACUGAACAACACAUGACAAUAAGACCCUUUACAUAAUUUAGUUAAUGAAAUCUCAGCCCAGCAGAGAAACACCUUAGAAAUUCAUAACCUCCCCAGUGGAAAGAAAUGCUCUGGCCUUGAGAACUUUGCUGUUUGCAUUUUACUCAUGAAGAAAAACUGCUCAGCCAAGUCAGGGUAAGCUGUGGAGAGGCUGCAAUCCAAGAGACCGCAGAGCUUGGAACAAGAGGCAACGAGUCAGAGCCUGACUUGCUCCAUCCCCCCUGGAUAUUCAGUCUCUGCACCUCAUCUACAUACCGGCACUCAGGAGAUGGAAGCAGAGGAGCAGCACUAGACUGACCUGCCCGAAGAAAUGUUCGACUGCACAAGCAUAGCCUUGGAAGCAGCUUCCUGCCAGGGACAAGUACCUCUUGGUGGAGGCUGGAGCCAUGUCAAUGCUGACCUACUUGUCAGA
rnacentral:lncRNA from 1 species